GACAGAGGGGGCAAGCGUUGCUCGGAAUCACUGGGCGUAAAGGGCGCGUAGGCGGGAUGGCAAGUCGGUCGUGAAAUCCUUCGGCUCAACCGAAGAACGUCGGCCGAUACUGCCGUUCUUGAGGGAUGCAGAGGAGAUUGGAAUUCCCGGUGUAGCGGUGAAAUGUGUAGAGAUGUGGAGGAACACCGAUGGCGAAGGCAGCCUCCUGGGCCAGCACUGACGCUCAUGCACGAAAGCGUGGGGAGCAAACAGG
rnacentral:rRNA from 1 species